rnacentral:rRNA from 1 species
UACGUAGGGUGCAGGCGUUAAUCGGAAUUCCUGGGCGUAAAGCGUGCGCAGGCGGCUCCUUAAGUCCGAUGUGAAAGCCCCGGGCUUAACCUGGGAACUGCGUUUGAAACUGGGGAGCUAGAGUGUGGAAGAGGGGGGUGGAAUUCCAGGUGUAGCAGUGAAAUGCGUAGAGAUCUGGAGGAACACCGAUGGCGAAGGCAGCCCCCUGGGCUAACACUGACGCUCAUGCACGAAAGCGUGGGGAGCAAACAGG